UAUUUGUGCGAACAGAGGCUGUGGAGUCGAUACCCAAAACACCUGACUCCGACUCCUUGAUUUCUUGUGUAUCCGACUCCAACCCAGACUCCUACGUAUAAUAAUUCUAAAUCUGCUAUGAUGACAUUACACAAGAUGGCAUUUCAUAAG